rfam:Enterocytozoon bieneusi H348 ctg01_2657, whole genome shotgun sequence.
CCUUAGGUUGAUUUUUGGCUAAAGGAAGAAUGUAUUUUUUUGGGAUUAAACCCAUGCAUGUUCAGGAAACCCUUACGUGGGAAAGGGGAACGGGUCCAGAAAGGUGGGGGAAAUUGGGUUUCGGGGGAAAACUAACCCCGGUAACCUGUGGUUAAAAGCGGGGAAUAAAGCGCAACCUUUUCAGCUUGUUGGUAGGUAAAGGACUACCAAGGCCAUGACGGGUAACGGGAAAUCAGGGUUUGAUUCCGGAGAGGGAGCCUGAGAGAUGGCUCCCACGUCCAAGGACGGCAGCAGGCGCGAAACUUGUCCACUCCUUACGGGGGAGACAGUCAUGAGACGUGAGUAUAAGACCUGAGUGUAAAGACCUUAGGGUGAAGCAAUUGGAGGGCAAGCUUUGGUGCCAGCAGCCGCGGUAACUCCAACUCCAAGAGUGUCUAUGGUGGAUGCUGCAGUUAAAGGGUCCGUAGUCGUGAAUGCAAUUAAAUGUCGUUGUUCAAUAGCGAUGAGUUUGCUAAUGUUUGCGGAACGGAUAGGGAGUGUAGUAUAGACUGGCGAAGAAUGAAAUCUCAAGACCCAGUUUGGACUAACGGAGGCGAAGGCGACACUCUUAGACGUAUCUUAGGAUCAAGGACGAAGGCAGGAGUAUCGAAAGUGAUUAGACACCGCUGUAGUUCCUGCAGUAAACUAUGCCGACAGCCUGUGUGUGAGAAUACGUGGGCGGGAGAAAUCUUAGUGUUCGGGCUCUGGGGAUAGUACGCUCGCAAGGGUGAAACUUAAAGCGAAAUUGACGGAAGGACACUACCAGGAGUGGAUUGUGCUGCUUAAUUUAACUCAACGCGGGAAAACUUACCAGGGUCAAGUCAUUCGUUGAUCGAAUACGUGAGAAUGGCAGGAGUGGUGCAUGGCCGUUGGAAAUUGAUGGGGCGACCUUUAGCUUAAAUGCUUAAACCAGUGAGACCUCCUUGACAGGUGUUCUGUAACACAGGAGGGUGGAGGCUAUAACAGGUCCGUGAUGCCCUUAGAUAUCCUGGGCAGCAAGCGCAAUACAAUAUCUCUUCAGUAGACAAAGUGAUUUGAGAUGAGUAGGAUCUACGUUUGUAAAUACGUAGUGAAUAAGGAAUUCCUAGUAACGGUGCCUCAUCAAGGCAUGGUGAAUGUGUCCCUGUUCUUUGUACACACCGCCCGUCACUAUUUCAGAUGGUCAUAGGGAUGAAGAGCUUCGGCUCUGAAUAUCUAUGGCUAGAUAAAGUACAAGUCGUAACAAGGUUUCAGUUGGAGAACCAGCUGAAGGAUCAUUU